UACAGAGGGUGCGAGCGUUAAUCGGAAUUACUGGGCGUAAAGCGUGCGUAGACGGUAGCGUGAGUCAGAUGUGAAAGCCCCGGGCUCAACCUGGGAACUGCAUUUGAGACUGCUCUGCUCGGGUGCGGAAGAGGGAAGCGGAAUUUCCGGUGUAGCGGUGAAAUGCGUAGAUAUGUCACAGAACACCAAUUGCGAAGGCAGCUUACUAAAGUAUGAUUGACGCUGAGGCACGAAAGCGUGGGGAUCAAACAGG
rnacentral:rRNA from 1 species